rnacentral:misc_RNA from 1 species
CCACUUCCUCCGCCCGCAUGAUCCCAAAAAGUUGCAGACUUUUUGGAUAAGAUUAUGCGUCUGGGGCAUGAAGGUUAUCAGGGGCCGUAGCUCAGCUGGGAGAGCGCCUGCUUUGCAAGCAGGAUGUCGUCGGUUCGAUCCCGUCCGGCUCCACCAACCAUCUUCUGCGAAGAUGGGGCGUGUCGAGCGGAGACGGUGAGAAAAAAGUCAUUCGAAAAAGAGUUUGCGUCGAGCCUCGUGCUCUGCGCCUGUUCUGUUUGACAUCGUAAAGAGAAGAUUUGUUCGAACUUCAUGAGCCGCAAGGACCAUGAUUUGUCGCAAGGGACGCUCAAUCCCUUGCCUAUGAUGGGUUUGCCUAACCGCGCCCUCGAACGGAUCUCGAGAAGCUGGUCUUUUUGUGCCAAUUCCAACCAGUAAUACCCCGCACAGGGUGUUGCUGGAGCGACGAUCUCUUCGAGAUCGCGCUUAUGCGACGAUCCUUCGGAUCGCGCUUAGCCAAUCCCGCAAGGGAGAGGCUGAAGCGACGAUCCCUGCGGGAUCGCGCGAUGAUGGGUAUUGGCAAUGAGAACGAUCAAGUGUCUUAAGGGCAAUUGGUGGAUGCCUUGGCAUGCACAGGCGAUGAAGGACGUGAUACGCUGCGAUAAGCUACGGGGAGGUGCGAAUACCCUUUGAUCCGUAGAUCUCCGA